ensembl:lncRNA
GGAUGAUGGGAGCGGGCGGCGCUGCCCCCACCCCAAAACGGAGCUGACAACGGAGGCUGAGUCGGCACCUGGACUUCAGAAUGGGGACCCUAAAAUCAGCGCCGUGACUGUGAGGCUGGGACCCCAAAACUGGAGGUGGGACCCCAAAACCAGCAGCAGGAUUCUGGAAUUGGAUCCCGAAACUGGAAUUGGGAGCUUGGAAUUGAGACCCCAAAAACAGCAACGGGACCCCCAAACUGGGACCCCAAUAUCAGCACCGGGACCCCAAAACUGAGACCAGGACCUUGUAAGUGGGACCCCAAAAUCAGCAGCAGGACCUGGAAAUUGGACCCCAAUAUCAGCACCGGGACCCCAAAACUGAGACCAGGACCUUGUAAGUGGGACCCCAAAAUCAGCACCAGGACCUGGAAAUUGGACCCCAAUAUCAGCACCGGGACCCCAAAACCGAGACCAAGACCUUAAAGUGGGACCCCAAAAUCUACCCUGGGACCCCAAAAGCAGACCCAUGACGAUGUAAUCAGCAUCAAGGACCCCAAAAUCUGGCACUGGGACCCCAAAUUUCACCACUUGGACCCAAAAAUUAGCAUUGGGGACCCCAAAAUCCGGCACUGAGACCCCAAAUUUCAGCACUCGGACUCCAAACCCAACACCAAGACCCCAAAUUCCAGCACUGGGACCCCAAAUUUCACCACUUGGACCCCAAAAAUCAGCAUUGGAGACCCCCAAAUCCGGCACUGGGACCCCAGAUUUCACCACUUGGACCCAAAAAUCAGCAUUGGGGACCCCAAAAUCCAGCUCUGGGACCCCAAAUUUCAGCACUUGGACUCCAAACCCAACACCAAGACCCCAAAUUCCGUCACUGGGACCCCAAAUUUCACCACUUGGACCCAAAAAUCAACAUUGGGGACCCCAAAAUCCGGCACUGAGACCCCAAAACCAGGACCCAGGACCCAUGGCUGAGGGGUGUCCCCUCCCUGGGGAGGUGACAGAGGGGGACAGCGGUGUCCCCAAAGGGGACGUCGAUGUCCCCGAGGUCACCGUCACUCCUUGGGCCAGCGGCAUCACCAUCACUGUGACGGUGGCACCGGCGGAUGAGGACAUCGAGGACAUUUGGGACAUUGGGGACACCGAGGACGUUGGGGACAUUGGGGACACCGCUGAGGACAUUGGGGGUGCGGAUGUGGGGCGCGGGGACGUCCCCGUUCCACGUGACAGAGAUGUCCCAACCCUGAAGGGUUUUGGGGACGGGGAUGGCAUUGAUGUCACAGCCCUAAAGGACACUGAGGUGACAGAGGUGGUGACACCAAGGGGUGUUGGGGACAGGGAUGUCCCAACCCCGGGGGAUAUGGGGGGCAGGGAUGUCUCCAUCUAUGGGGACAAGGAUGUCCCGGUCCACGAGGAUGAGGGUGACGGGGACAGGGAUGUCAUAGGUGUAUGGGAUGAUGGGGACAAGGGCUUUGGGGACGGGAAUGCCACCACCCCAAGGGACGAAGUUUGGGAUGUCCCCGUUCCCAGUAUGGAGAAGGGCAGUGGGAAUGGGGGUGUCUUGGCUGCUGGAGACGAGGACAUUGGGGACAUCCCAACCGUAAGGGACAUUGGGGACAUCCCAACCGUAAGGGACAUUGGGGACAUCCCAACCGUAAGGGACAUUGGGGACAAGGAUGUCACAACCCCUAAGGACGAGGACACCAAGGAAAAGCCUGUCCCAACCAUGGGGGAUGAGGACUUUGGGGGCGAGGGUGGUGGGGACAGGGAUGUCCCGUCCCCAGUGGGCUUUGGGGACAAGGACACUGGGGACAAGGAUGUCCCAUCCCCUAAUGGCAUUGGGGACAAGGAUAUUGGGGACAAGGACAUUGGAGAGAAGGGUGUCCCAUCCCCCAUGGGCUUUGGGGACAAGGACUUUGGGGACAAGGAUGUCCCAUCCCCCAUGGACUUUGGGGACAAGGACGUCCCAUAUCUCAUGGGCAUUGGGGACAAGGACAUUGGGGACAAGGACUUUGGGGACAAGGAAGUCCCAUCCCCUAUUGGCUUUGGGGACAAGGAUGCUGGGGACAAGGAUGUCCCAUCUGUCACAGGCUUUGGGGACAAGGACUUUGGGGACAAGGGUGUUCCAUCCCCUCUGGGCUUUGGGGACAAGGUCUUUGGGGACAAGGAUGUUGGGGACAAGGAUGUCCCAUCCCCUAAUGGCAUUGGGGGCAAGGAUGUUGGGGAGAAGGAAGUCCCAUCCCCUAUCGGCUUUGGGGACAAGGACGUCCCAUCCCCCAUGGGCUUUGGGGACAACGACAUUGGGGACAAGGAAGUCCCAUCUGUCACGGGCUUUGGGGACAAGGAUGUUGGGGACAAGGAUGUCCCACCCCCUAAGGCCUUUGGGGACAAGGACAUUGGGGACAAGGACUUUGGGGACAAGGACGUGCCAUCCCCCAUGGGCUUUGGGGACAAGGAAGUCCCAUCUGUCACGGGCUUUGGGGACAAGGACUUUGGGGACAAGGAUGUCCCAUCCCCCAUGGGCUUUGGGGACAAGGACGUCCCACCCCCUAAGGCCAUUGGGGACAAGGACAUUGGGGACAAGGACUUUGGGGGCAAGGAUGUCCCAUCCCCUAUGGGCUUUGCGGACGAGGACAAUGGGGACAAGGAUGUCCCAUCCCCUCUGGGCUUUGGGGACAAGGACUUUGGGGAGAAGGAUGUCCCAUCCCCUAUCGGCUUUGGGGACAAGGAUGUUGGGGACAAGGACAUCCCACCCCCUAAGGCCUUUGGGGACAAGGACUUUAGGGACAUGAAUGUCCCAUCCCCUAUCGGCUUUGGGGACAAGGACGCUGGGGACAAGGAUGUCCCACCCCCUAAGGCCUUUGGGGACAAGGACUUUGGGGACAAGGAUGUUGGGGACAAGGAUGUCCCAUCCCCCAUGGGCUUUGGGGACAAGGACGUCCCAUCCCCUCUGGGCUUUGGGGACAAGGACUUUGGGGACAAGGAUGUCCCAUCCCCCAUGGGCUUUGGGGACAAGGACGUCCCAUCCCCUAAGGCCUUUGGGGACAAGGACGUUGGGGACAAGGACAUCCCACCCCCUAAGGCCUUUGGGGACAAGGACUUUAGGGACAUGAAUGUCCCAUCCCCUAUCGGCUUUGGGGACAAGGAUGCUGGGGACAAGGAUGUCCCACCCCCUAAGGCCUUUGGGGACAAGGACAAUGGGGACAUCCCAACCCCAGGAGAUGUUUGGGAUGAGGAGGUUGGGGACAUCCAGGUCCCAACCCUAAGGGACUUUGGGGACAGAGAGUUUGGGGACAGAGAGUUUGGGGACAAAGAGUUUGGGGACAAAGAGAUUGGGGACAAAGAGAUUGGGGACAGGGAUUUUGGGGACAAAGAGUUUGGGGACAAAGAGAUUGGGGACAAAGAGUUUGGGGACAAAGAGUUUGGGGCCGAGGCCAUCUCAGCCCCGCAGGACUUGGGGGGCAGGGAUGUCCCCCCCCGAGGGGACAUUGGGGUCGUGCCCCACGGGGACGGGGACAUCCCGGCCUUUGGGGUCAGCGAGGAUGGCCGUGGGGACACGGUUGGGGACAUGGGGGGCGUGGAUGUCACCGCCCGGGGGGGUGAUGGGGACAGAGAGGGGACGUCGGGAAGGGUUGGGGGCGUUGAGGGCGCGCGCGGUGCCGGUGACGUCAUCACCAUCACGGUGACGGCCCCGCCGCUGGAGGACGGCCCCGGCGACGAUGACGUCAUCGCUGACGCCAUUGCCGCCCAACCGCGCGGUGUCGCGGGGGGGCGGCGACGUCACAGCUGCGCUUCCCGGUGACGUCAGCCCUGAGGGCGACGUCACCUCGGCGGUGGCGGGGGGUGACGUCGUGGCCGAGCUCGUCGACGGCGAUGACGUCACUUCCUUUCUCCCCGGAGGAGAGCCCGGUGGUGACGUCAUGGCUGCGGGUGAUGUCACUCCCCACCUCCCUGAGGGUGAGCGCAUGGGUGGUGCCGUGCCCGGGAGUGACAUCGAUGAUGACAUCAUCAGUGGAGAUGACGUCAUCUGCUCCCUCCCCAGAGGUGACCAGGCUGAUGGUGUUGUCCCUGGUGGUGAUGUCACUGAUGACGUCACCACGGAUGAAACGGUCGCUUCUUUCCAUGGGGACGACCACGCCCAUGAUGUCAUCCCUGGAGGUGACAUCACUGAUGAUGUCAUCACGGAUGAAACGGUCGCUUCUUUCCAUGGGGACACCCGCACCAAUGAUGUCAGCCACGGGCGUGACAUCAUUGAUGACGUCACGAUGGGUGAAACCAUCUCUUCUUUCCACGAGGGCGUCCACGCUGAUGACGUCACUCACAGAUACGACAUCACUGAUGACAUCACCCAUGGAUAUGACAUCACAGAUGAUGUAAUCAAUUGGGGUGACGUCACUGAUGACGUCAUUAUGAGCGAGGCCAUCACCUCUGCAGGCAGGGAUGUCCAUAUUGGUGACGUCAUCCACGGGGCUGACCUCACUGAUGACAUCACCUACUUGGCUGACCUCACUGAUGACGUCAUCACGGAUGAAACCAUCACUCCUUACCAUGGGGAGAUGGGCGGUGAUGACCUCAUCCACGGAGGUGACCUCAUCGAUGACGUCACCCUUGGAGGCGACCCUGGUGAUGAUGUCACACCCGGUGCUGACAUCACAGCCGCAAGUCCGGGCCGUGAUGUCACACCUGAGCACGAUGACAUCACCCCAAAGGAUGACGUCAUCAGUGACACCAUCAGCCCCGCAGAGGAGCAACCGCUGUGCCCGCGCCGUGACAUCACCGAUGACGUCAUCGCCCACGUGGGGCCCAGGAGGGGCGGAGCUACAGCCGCCCCCCAGCCCCAGACGAACCCCCCCGGCUGCCCCCUCGUCUUCCUCGGCCUCCUCUGCCUCCUCCUCAUCCUCCUCCUCCUCGCCGGCGUCUUUGCGGCGGUGCAUUACGUCAAAGUGUUCCUCAUCAGCUCCGUUCCGAUGGACCCCCCCCCCCCACCCCCAUGAGCCUCUAUGGGUUGGGGGGGGGGCACUGAUGUCACCUUGGGGGGGGGGGGGGGGGACACAGCUGACCCCCCCCCCCUCCCCCAUGAGCCUCUAUGGGGAGGGGGGGACACAGCGAUGUCACCUUAAGGGGGGGGACACACAUCUGACCCCCCCCCAAUGAGCCUCUAUGGGUGGGGGGGGGGCAUCGAUGUCACCUUGGGGGGGGGGACGGACACCUGACCCCCCCCCAAUGAGCCUCUAUGGGUGGGGGGGAACACAACUGAACCCUCCCCCCCCCCCCCACAAUGAGCCUCUAUGGGUGGAGGGGGGGCACCGAUGUCACCUUGGGGGGGGGCACACCUGACCCCCCCCCCACGAGCCUCUAUGGGUGGGGGGGGACAUCGAUGUCACCUUGGGAGGGGGGGACACACACCUAACCCCCCCCCCAAUGAGCCUCUAUGGGUGGGGGGAACACAUAUCACCCUCCCCCCCCACCCCAAUGAGCCUCUAUGGGUGGGGGGGUGACACCAAUGUCACCUUGGGGGGGGGGGACACACCUAAGCCCCCCCCCAUGAGCCUCUAUGGGUGGGGGGGGACAUCGAUGUCACCUAGCGGGGGGGGGGAAACACACCUGACCCCCCUCCAUGAGCCUCUAUGGGUGGGGGGGGCACCGAUGUGACCUUGAGGGGGGGGGACACACACCUGACCCCCUCCCCCCCCCCCAGUGAGCCUCUAUGGGUGGGGGGGGGGACAUCGGUGUCACCUUGGGGGGGGGGGGGGGGGGACACCUGACCCCCCCCCAUGAGCCUCUAUGGGUGGGGGGAACACAUAUCACCCCCCCCCCCCCACCCCAAUGAGCCUCUAUGGGUUGGGGGGGGGACAUCGGUGUCACCUUGAGGGGGGGGACACACCUAAGCCCCCCCCCCAAUGAACCUCUAUAGGUGGGGGGGGGACAUCGAUGUCACCUUGGGGGGGGGGGGGAAACACACCUGACCCCCCCAAUGAGCCUCUAUGGAUUGGGGGGGGGGACACACCUGACCCCCCCCCUCCAUGAGCCUCUAUGGGGGGGGACGACACAGCUGACCCCCCCACCACCACCCCAAUGAGCCUCUAUGGGUGGAGGGGGGGACAUCGAUGUCACCUUGGGGGGGGGGGACACACCUGACCGCCCCCCCCCCCCCCCCCAAUAAAUCAGUAAGGC